ACUCCACAGUGCCGCAAAGUUGUCCACGAUGACAUCCACCGCUGCCAUGUUGAACUGCGGACACUUGGAACAAGAAUGAUCUGGGGAUUGGACGAGACUGGUGAGGCCACCUCCAAGGUGAUAGUGAACAUCUUCAUCACCCACGGUUCUCCUGAGGUCAUCUCGAGUUUUGGAAGGUAGGCUAUACUUUCCAAAACUGUUGAAAAGUACAUUUCUCCCUUUUAUAAUACCUUACAGGCCGUCAUUGUAAAUAAGAAUUUGUUCUUAACUGACUUGCCUAGUUAAAUAAUGGUUACAUUUAAAAUUAAAAUAAUCAAAAAUGCUGGGGACAAUAAAAGGCCACUCUAAAAUGUGCAGUUUUGUCACACAACACAAUCCCACAGAUGUCUCAAGUUGAGGGAGCAUGCAAUUGGCAUGCUGACUGUAGGAAUGUCCAACAUAGCUGUUGCCAGAGAAUUUAAUCUUAAUUUCUCUACCAUAAGCCUUCUCCAACGUUGUUUGAGAGAAUUUGUCACUACGUCCAACCGGCCUCACAACCGCAGACCACGUGUAACCACGCCAACCCAGGACCUCCACAUCCGGCUUCUUCACCUGCGCUACCCAAACAGCUGAUGAACCUGAGGAGUAUUUCUGUCUGUAAUAAAGCCCUUUUGUGGGGAAAAACUCAUUCUGAUUGGUUGGGCCUGGCUCCCCAGUGGGUGGAUCUGGCUCCCAAGUGGGUGGGCCUAUGCCCUCUCAGGCCCACCCAUGGCUGUGCCCCUGCCCAGUCAUGUGAAAUACAUAGAUUAGGGCCAAAUGAAUUUAUUUCAAUUGGCUGAUUUCCUUCUAUGAACUGUAACUCAGUAAAAAAUCUUAGAAAUGUUUGCAUGUUGCGUUUAUAUUUUUGUUCAGUAUAGAAACGCAGGUAAAACAAAUACAAAUGCGCAUAGAUUGCUGUCAUUUCAGCUGCUUGAUCUGAUUGUGUGUAGUUGGCUAGCAAAGGAGAAGUAAAGUAAUUAGCCGAGCUAUCCUCCAUAACUAACGUUAACGUUGUAUUAUUGACUUGAUAAUCAGCAGUUUUUUGCCUAUUUAUACAUUAUUUAUUAAAUUAUUAUUUAUAAUAUAUUAUUAAGUUCUUGUCUCUCGUGAUCAUUGAACCUCUGCUAGCUACUGUAGCUAGCUAGCUACAUGCCAAGAAUUUGUUCAACAUAGCAACAAUAAAUGAAUAUAAUGAACGACUGAGUUAAAACAUCCCAAAAUAAUUAAUGACCAGCCUGUUUGCUUAGCAACUUCAGAACCUCAUAAGUAACAACUGGCUUUUGCCAUGACUAUAUCAUAUAUAACACAUUUACACAUUAAAAUAAAUGUUUUACUUAAAUGUUGGCAACCACACAUCAACACAAUGCUGGCUUUAUUCCACUUCAAAUACAGCAGGUUGCCCUCCCUCCUCCACCUUAUGGAUCCACUCUGGGAUUUCAUGGUCAGAGCAUUUGUCUCAAUGUGAACAGGGUCUUCAAGCACCAAUUUUCCUGGAUAAUAAAUCCUGGAACAGUUUUGGAAUUGUGUAGAAAUUGUCACAGUAGAGAUGGUAACCAGUGCCCAAGUAGGACGGCUGAAUGACACUCAUGACAGCGUCGUAGCAUUGUCCGUUGCCAGAGGAGGAGUUGGACUUUCCAGUGUACACACUGAAGUCAAUGGUGUAGCAAUUGCUGGAGUCAGCCAAAACAAAGGGCUUGAAGCCCCACUUGACCGGCAUUGCUCUUCAUGCACUGAGGCUUUUAAGAUUUAGCCGUAGAUGCCACCAUUUGCUCAUCGAUGGACAGAUUUCUGUAAGGAUGGUAAUAUUUAGCGAGUAUUCAAAAAAAAAAUGUAAAAAAGGUUAUGGUUAAAAAUGUUCAUGUUUUACUGUGACUUGUUGUACGCUCCUAAGUGGACCAUAAGGUUAAAAACCAAACCAAAUUAAGAAAACUAAACUAAAAAAAAAAUAAAAAAAAAUAAAAAAAUAAAAUGUGAGUGUCACUUUUGGGUCACUUUUGUACAUUUCAAUGAAACAUGGUGAAGGCCCAAAAUUGCCUACCAUGGAAGCCUUUGUUUCAGAUAUAAGGAACAGAAUGGUGAAAAAGUUGUUUGUUUUGUCCAAGUUUAAAAGUAGAAGUUCUAGGUCCCAAGAAACAAAGAGAUCUACUGUCGGAUCUGACAGUGAAUCUUGAUGGUUGUACAGUCGUCUCAAAAAAAACUGUGAAGGACUUCGGCAUUACUCUGGACCCUGAUCUCUCUUUUGUUUGAACAUAUAAAAAAUAUUUAAAGUACAGCCUUUGCAAAAAUCUUAACGUUUUGUCCCAAAAUUAUGCAUAAAAGCUAAUCCAUGCUUUUUUUCACUUCAAUAUUAGACUACUGCAAUGGUCUACUCUCUGGCUACCCAGAUAAGGCACCACAUAAACUUCAGCUAGUGCUAAAUACGGCUGCUAGAAUCUUGACUAGAACUAAAUUUGAGCAUAUUACUCCAGUACUCGCCAAUGGCUUCCUGUUAAGGCUGAUUGCUAGGGCUGAUUUCAAGGUUUAACUGCUAACCUACAAAGUAUUACAUGGACUUUCUGCUACCUAUCUCGCCGAUUGGUCCUGCCGUACAUAUCUACACAUUCACUAUGACCACAAGACGCAUGCUGCCUUAUUGUUCCUAGAAUUUCUCAGCAAAUAGCUGGAGACAUGGCUUUCUCCUAUAGACCUACAUUUUAAUGGAAUGAUCUGCCGAUCUAUGUGAGAGAUGCAGACUGUGUUUCAUCCUUUACUGAAGACUCAUCUCUUCAACAGGUCCUAUGAUUGAGUGUAGUCUGGCCAGGGAUGUGACGGUGAACGGCAAGGCACUGGAGUGACGAACCACCCUGGCCGGCUCCCCUCUCUCCACUGGGAGAGGGUCUCUAACCCUAUUAUGGGGGCUGAGUCACUGGCUUGCUCACGCUAUACCAUGCCGUCCCUAGGAGUGGUUUAUCUCGUCGUGCCAGGCUUUUUUCUGCUAUACUCAACCUGAGUGGGUUGAGUCACUGACGUGAUCUUCCUUCCUAUCCUCGGGCUCGUGUUGUGGGAGAGAUCUUUGUGGGCUAAAUUCGGCCUUGUCUCAGGGUAGUGAGUUAGUGGUCUGUUGAUAUCCCUUUAGUGGUGUGGGGGCUGUGCUUUUGCAAAGUGGGUGGGGUUAUAUCCUGCCUGGUUGGCUCUGUCUGGGGGUAACUUUGGACGAGGUCUCCUGUAUAUAAGCUGCAAUAGUUUAUGUGCCAGGGGUCUAGGGUCAGUCUGCAAUAUCUGGUGCAAUUAUUUUAUUAUUAUUAUGUUUAUUUGUCAGGGACCAUGUAUAACAUGCCAUUGCACCAGAUUUAGCUAGAUAGCUAAUUUUCAUCUGUAGUCCCUGGGCAGAAAACAAUCAACAUUAAUACAUCAAUGUCUUAUCUGGUGUCCUGUGUGAUCUUAGAUUUGCUCCCUCUAAUUUUCCCAUCUCUCCCCUCCCGGAGGACCUGAGCUCUUGGACCAUGCCUCAGGACUACCUGACCUGACGACUCCUGGCUAUCCCCAUCCCCAAUCCACCUGGUCCUGCUGCUGAUCCAGUGUCUGCUGCUGUUCUGCCUGCGGCUAUGGAACCCUGACCUGUUCAACAGUCGUGCUACCUUGUCCUGGACCUGCUGUUUCGACUCUCUCUCUCUCUUUACUGCACCUGCUGUCUCGAUGCUCGACUAUGAAAAGCCAACUGACAUUUACUCCUGAGGUCCUGACCUGUUGCACCCUCGAUAACCACUGUGAUUAUUAUUUGACCCUGCUGCUAAUCUAUGAACGUUUGAACAUCUUGAAGAACGAUCUGGCCUUUAUGGCCAUGUACUGUUAUAAUCUCCAGCAUAUCCAGAAGAGGACUGACCACACCUCACAGCCUGGUUCCUCUAGGUUUCUUCCUAGGUUCCAGCCUUUUCAAGAGUUUUUCCUAGCCACCAUGAUUCUGCAUUGCUUGCUCUUUGGGGUUUUAGAUUCAGUUUCUGUAUAAGCACGUUGUGACAACUGCUGAUGUAAAAAGGGCUUUAUAAAUACAUUUGAGUGCUUGAUAAUAUGAAUUGCCCUGUUGUCCUAUCAGUAUAGCCAUAUCUGAAAAACACAGAAUUCAGAUUGUAUUUUGUCAUAGAUAAGGCUAUAUCUAACAGAUCGGAUACUUGUAGAGUUACCACCACGAUGCAGUAAUUUCUAAAGAAAAAUGUAAAGAAAAAAAAUUGGACAUCCAUUUUUUUAUACCUUUUUGUUCAUUUAUUGUUACAGAAUAAUAAGUAGUUUUCAGUUAUAUAGGCUAUUGUUAUAUCAGUGUCCCAACAGUAUGGGACCAGGCAUCGCAUGGCCCCUAGAUGGCUGUCUAAGCAUGAGGGAUAUUGAACUCGAGGGUUCAGAAGUGGGCUAUCCUUCAGUGUAGCUUGAUGCACUUGAUGCACUUUGACUUGGCCAAUAAGCUUCUCUUAGAAAUCACAUUUCCCCAUCAGUGUCUUGUGUUUGGCUGUUGUUCUUGAAAUCACUCUGUCUCAAGAAUCCAUGCCUGACUGUACAGUCUGGGCUGGGUUGAGGUGAAACACUGGUGUUUGAAAUUAAAUGGUUACAGAUUUCAACAAUGUCUGGCAGAGGCAGGCAUAGUUUAGAAGGAAUAUGCUAGUUACAUUUGGACGUCCAAUUGUAAUCUUGAGUCAGAUCUUUACCAUGUGUUUGUACAAGACGAGUUAUAGAAAAUGUUUCAAUGUGUUGCACAUUACAGCAGACACUGCAGUUUGAGAUUGACAUUGCUUUAUAACAGUGACAUGAACAUACUUGGUGGUUAUGAUAUCCGGCUCAGUGCUUUCUGAUCAUUUGUCAAUAUAACAUUUUAUGGAUUGGUGAGCAGCCAGAGAUUACACAUGUUGGUUGGAUCCAUAUGUUUUCCAAGCAAGAGCAGGCGACUUUUGCGGUAUUUUUGUUGGUCUGUUUUCAAGCAAGGACAAGAAACAUUUGUGAUUAUGAUGCAUUGCAAAAUGUAUGAUAAAUAUGAUCACAUACACACAGUAUUGAAUGCCUCAACAAAUCCAGUCAUUGUUCAAAUUGAGUGCAAAAAUCACUGCAAACUAAUUUAAAAGUCAGUUGGCGAGAGUGGGGAGGGAGACCCUUUCCAAGUUUCUCUGGAGUUUCAAAAUGUUGAACAAAUACUGUGCAGGAGAUAAAACAUUGGAUGCUGUCCUGCAGACAUUUUGGCCCAAUGAUCAAGAGGGUCUGGACUUACCCAGAGUACAACACUUAGACUGUACAUUUUUUAAACAAACUCCCCUGACCUGGCCUUAUAGGGUGCCAACUCUACAUGCAUUCCCCCACAAUGACGGGCAUGGUGACUACUGUCUGUUUUACUGUCCAUGUGUUUAUUAACUUCAAGCUGAAAAACAAAGCAGACCCAACUUUGUCUGAGACCUUUCUCUAAUUGACAUAUGUAUCAAGUACUCCUACCAAGUUUGUUUCUUUAUUUGAUCUCCUUGCUUGGAGAGUAAUAUAGUCAGUGUUAUUUUCCCAUUGACUAUGGGAUAUAUUUGCUGUACAUUCUAGACUGUUAGUUGUGUGUCUGCUGUGACACAUAGGUAGAGCCUAUAUUUCACCUGCCAAACCUCUUCCCUCAAGGCACCAGCUGCUAAUGAGGCCAGGGUGAAGAGGAGCUAGCUGGCUGAAAAUUGAAUGCUGUGGCUAAGGGACUUCAAAUACAUUUUUUUUUGUAAGGUUCAUUUUAUGCUCACUGAAGGUAAAUACGGGGUUCAUUUAGUGCGCAGGAAUUUUCUGUGCCAUGCAUUUGGCACUACCUAGACACUACAAGGUCACAGAGUGCUUUUGUAUGCAAGGCCACAGUCAGCUCUGUCUAGACCCAGACAGAUGAUGUCAUAUUGCAGGGCCAGGGGGUGGGAUUGUCUCUGGACUGAUUGUCUGGUCUGGGUAUCAUCCUCCCAAGCUUCAGUCUGACCUACUCCAAGCUUUCCCGAAGAAAGGUCUGGUCAGAUUUAUUGGACAGUUAGCAAUGCUUCAGCAGAGUUCCAAACGAUAAAUCACCAGUCCAGACCUGGGUUCGAAUAGUAUUUGAAAUUAUUUAAAAUACUUUAGCUGUGCAUGAUUAAGCUUUCUUGUUGCAAUGUAAGCAAUAAAGCACUCCCAAAAGUGCAAACCAUGCCCACCUGGCACUCCAGGCAGGCUAAAAUAAACUCUCAAAGUAUUUGAAAGAUUUCGACCAAGGUCUAUACUAGCCUGGCAAUUAUUAAUUUGGUGUUUUAGGUGAUCGGCUAAUUGAAUACUAAGUGACAUAAUCUUCUAAAAUAGUAGCCUUAGUUGUUUUAGCUUGAGGGAUUGUGUAGUUUGUGAUCAUGUACAGUAAAUGUCAAAUAAAUACAUGGAAGAGAAGACUGAAUGAAUGUUGUGCUGAAUUUCACACAGUUAACACUUUUGGGACUAUUCCGUUGGUUCCAUUGUACCAGGCCAAUUAAAUCAAGCACAGCUUGAUUAUUUGAAGUAUUUGACAUACUGUAUUUGACCCAGGUCUGAUACACAUUAUAUAGCACAAUAUUACACUGGUUAUUUCAAGUCCAUUACGAAUGUGGCAAUCAGCAUAGUUUCCUCUCUGCUGGCGGUGCUGGGAAUAACAGUGUCUUGUCUUUCUAAAGUUCACUGACGUACAUAAAACACACAAACGUUCCAGAAGUAGGCCUAAUUAUGUGUGAAGGAUUAAAUUCUAUAACAUUGCCAUUUUUGGACCUUCAUAACACCUGUCAAACCAUUAAUUGUGUCUAAAUGCCUGGCUGAAAGUUCCUCCUAGAAAGCAGAAUGUUCAAUUCUUUCAGUUCCUGUAAAUUCCACCAGGAACGAUGACCCAAUUGUCACUGUCUACCUCCGUCUGUCUAUGUUUCACCGGUCGGUCCGGGAGAGGCUCGCUGCUACAUCACUGGGUAAAUUUGUUUUCUUGCUGCCAAAAUAAAGUUUGGACAAAGUUUUCUGACAUGAAAAAAAAAACAACGGCUCAUUACAUGGAAGCAGCAGGAGCAUAGAGAGCAGGACUCUUUCUUGGAUUCAUGCUAAAUGACGUGCUUCACAUAGAGAUAGCUAGGCGUUACUCUACCAUUUCCUUGACUGGGAGGGGAGGGAAAAUCACACAGCCGUGCACUCCUUGACCUUCAUGUCUACAAUUAGUUGUUAUUCAACAUCCAACUGGCCUGGGACUGGGAGAAAAUAAGGAAAUAUCACUGCUGACUGCUCAUAUGUACUGACUCUUGAGGCAAUGAGUUUGUCUGAGGAGGAGGAGGAAAUCAUUUUUUGACAAGCUUGUUGCCUACAUUACACCCAAACACACCAAUAACACCAUCACCCAACAUGUCCUGUUCCAUCCCAUAAUGUUGCAUCAUUCAUCUAAAUCUUGCAUGAUAGUCCAUAUCCUCCUCCUACUAGGCUACUACUGUGCAGGUUUGAUGGAUCCAUUUUAUAUUGCCACAACAUUUUUCCUCUCCUUUGAUGUGUGAUGACAGAACUGGUAACUAUGUGGCAGAACUGACAUGGGUGUGCUUGUUGCUAUAUUUAAAUGCUAGCCCUGACAAGGCUCUGUUGUCAGUCGUAGACCUGGCACUUGGUGUCUCAUGGUCAUCCUUCAUUUUAUCAUAACCAACACCAAAACCUUCCAUUGAUGUAACUCUAAAGAUAACAGUUUGAUUCAGGCCAGUGUCACUGGAAAAUGCCAAUUGUUUAAAAAUGAGGGGAACAGCAACUGUAUGACACAGCGCUAAGAGACCAUCUAUUAUAUAAUCAUGCUGGUUGGCACAUAUAUCCAACAUAUUAAAGUAUACAAACAUGUUAAGUGAAAUAAAGUAUUUCUUAAAUUUUUUAACAAGUAAUUCAAACAACUGUCUAAAUAAAGUACAAAAUUAA